rnacentral:sRNA from 1 species
GUGUCAGCCUGGUAGGCAAAUGGUAGCCAGUUAUGAAGAUAAGCCUUGUCACUUUCUCCUGGGGUGCUUUCCUCAUUGCAAUGUUGCUCUUCCAGUCUGUCAACAAGGACCAGGAAUUUUUCUUUGUGCCUUCUAUUAGGUGACUCGCUGGGUUCCAGACCAUAUGGCAUCACACUGCUAUAACUGUGACUGUGAAUUCUGGUUGGCCAAACGAAGACACCAUUGCAGAAAUUGUGGGAAUGUAUUUUGUGCUGGAUGCUGCCACCUGAAGCUGCCCAUUCCUGAUCAGCAACUCUAUGACCCAGUUCUCGUCUGUAACUCAUGUUACGAACACAUUCAAGUCUCUCGUGCCAGGGAACUCAUGAGCCAACAGCUGAAGAAACCCAUUGCUACAGCUUCCAGUUGAAUGCUGGGGAGAAACCUGUCCAAUUUUAGCAGGUUUGAAGGGAGGAUCUUCUUCAGUUGUAGUUGGGAAGGUUCCUUGGUGUGGCUCAUGAAAUCACAGAGCUCAGAGAUACCAUCUUGAGAAAUCCUCCUUGGUAUCAUGAAACUGGAGCAGAGGAAUUGCAAUUUAGCAGGAGGUCCUCU